rnacentral:rRNA from 1 species
UACGGGGGGGGCAAGCGUUGUUCGGAAUUACUGGGCGUAAAGGGCGCGUAGGCGGUUAUAUGAGUGUGAUGUGAAAGCCCCGGGCUUAACCUGGGAAGUGCAUCGCAAACGAUAUGACUGGAGUAUAUGAGAGGGUGGCGGAAUUUCCGGUGUAGCGGUGAAAUGCGUAGAUAUCUGGAGGAACACCGGUGGCGAAGGCGGCGUCCUGGACCAACACUGACACUGAUGAGCGAAAGCCAGGGGAGCAAACGGG